UCAAAACACUGACGCUUGCCUACAAAGCCAAAAAUGGACCAGCACCCUCUUACCUCAGAACCCAUCAGAGCUCAUCACUCCUCGCACUGCACCACGCUGCCUGAGGUCUUCAGGCACUGCUCAACUGGUAUAACCUUCUCUCAAGGAAAAAGGUAAGUAUACUUCAAGGCUCUGCUCUGCUCUGGCAAUGAGGUGGUGGAAUGAACUUCCCCAAGAUGUCAGAACAGCGGAGUCACUGGCUUUCUUCAAGCGGUGAGUGAAGACCUUCCUCUUCCUGAAACACUUAAACUAACACUUUUUCAGGUUUGCUUUGUUUAUAAAAAUCUUCUCAACAGAGUUGUAGGCUGAUUUAUCUUAAGUUUGUAAUCUAGCAUACCAGUGUAGAUCUAUUCAUUGAUGGAGAUUUAAAGCAGUCUUGUACGUCACUCUGGACAAGGGUGUCUGCUAAAUGCCAAAAAUUUAGCCCCUUUUUCUUUUGAAUAACCUCCACUCUUCUAGGAAGAUGUUUCUAUUAGGUUCUGGAGUGUUGCUAUGGAGAUUUGUUCUCAUUCAGUGACAACGGUUUUAGUAAAGCCAGGUACUGAUGGAGGUGAGGUGCAGGAGGCCUGGGGUGCAGUCAGCGGUCCAAUUCAUUCAAUGGUGUUGAAUAAGGUUGAGUUCAGAGCUCUAUAGCAGGCCAAUCAAGAUCUUCCAAGAGCAUCCAAAGACAUCCAAUGCAAUUGUGUGUCACUUUGUGGUAACAGUUUAAGGAAUUGUAAUGGUGGCAAAUUAAUGAUAAAUGAAAGCGUUCUAGUGUUACUUUUUAAUUUGCCACAGCCUCAGAUUGCCCCUCUAACAGGACCCAUCCACUUAUUUUUGUAUAAAAUCAUCCAUUUUUAUACUUUUCAGGCCAAAAGCGUUAAAACGGCAGAUUUUUGGAGACAAUACUUAAACACCCCAACGAGCAUUGCAAAACAAGAUGUAUCAUCACUGGAAGACUCAUUAUUUUCGAGUUCUCACCUUCUGGCUAUCUUCAUCCUUUAUCAUACCACAUCUACCACACGGACAAGGCUAACAUGCUUCCAAGCAGGUAAAAAUGCUUGCCCUAUGUGGCACUGAAUAAAUCAGCACAACCUUUGGCUUGCCCUUUGCUCAUCCCACGAACUUUGCCUGACCUACAAGACAUGCUCGGAUUAAAGGCUCCUUUUUUCUGGCUCCCCGGUAACCCGGCACCUCCACUCUUCCUAAAGACCACCCUCCUGGCAACGCCGCUUUCUUUCCCCCCGUAGGCAAAUGAAUCCAUCCGCAUUUUUUUGUUUCAUACCCUUAAGAUCUUUCACUUCAAAAGCCACCCAGCCCGCAGCGGCCACCACUGAACACCCCAAGUGGCCGCUCAAGACUCACCUCGAUCAGCGCAUGGCGGGACCCCAAAGACCUUCAGCUCCUCAGUGGGGGGACCGCCCCUCCCUGCCUCUAAGCCCUGCGGCCCACAGGAGCCUACUCAACAUUAUCAAAGAUAAAACAUCAAUGGGAGGCACUUGAAGGAUGUGAAAAAGGUAGAGGAAAGGCCACAUCAAAAAAAAAAAAAGAGGUGACGUGUGAGUGCACAUCAGAAAGCCUGGAGAGAGGGAGGACAACGCUUUCAAAAAGAAAGGGACAAUGAUCGGGCAAUUAUAUUCUACAUGGCAACUUUAAGAUCAUGAAUAGUGGAGCAGAAACACUGCACUCAGGCUGUGUUCCUGUUGAGAGAAUCAUUCGGCGUGUGGCGGAAUGUGGGGCAGCCAGCAGGGGAGGUGUCCAGGCCAACCACAGUGCCGGUUGGGGGUUGCACACUCCUGGGGUAAAAAGCAACUUCAGCUUCCACCCCCUGCUAUGCACAUCGUCCCCCAGACCCAAAGGUUCUGUGGUUUCUUCCAACUUGCCUGCAUGGUGUCCUGUGAUAUACUGGGUGUUUUACUGACUCUGGAGCAGAUCUGGACCUUGAGGUCAGCAUGAAGAUGGUUUACACGGGUCGGAGCGGAAGAUCUUCUGAAAUAGACCUCUAACCUCCAACCUACUGAACACCUUUGGGAUAGAAUGGAACACUUACUGCACUCCAGGCAUCUUCACUUCAUGCUGAAUGAGCCCAAAUCCCCACAAGCCCACUUUAAAAUCUAAUGGAACGUCUACCCAGAAGAGUGGAGGUUGAUAUAACAAAAAGCAGAGCAGUCUUAUGGCCGGGUGUCCACAAACUUUUGUUUAUAUAUUGUAUAGGGCGUAUAAAAGAAAUAUGAAAUAUGUCUCUUCUUUUAGGAUUACAAUGUGUUUUAAAAUACCUUUUUUUUUAACAUUCAGUGUGUAAACUCUUCUUUCGGUCCUGUAAAUGGACUCAUAGGGCCAUCUGCUGUUGAGGAAACUCAUUUUGCCUAAAAUAUCUUUAGUUUCAAUGUGAUAUAUGUUUGAUGGAAUGGUUUAAUGUAAAUUCAUGAAAUAUUCUAAAAUCUAAUUAGCAAUUUUAAUCUAUUUUCAAUAGUAAUAUUUUGUAUAUAAGUGUGGAUGUUAUUCAAAGUUUGUAUUUCCGAAAAUAUGGAAAGGAUUUAAAUUGCAUGUGAGAAUCAAACAUAUUGAUCAGAUCGGUUUAUUUUGUUAUAUAUUUCUAUUUCAUUUAUUAUUAUUUUUUUACCAAAGAACUGGAAUUAUACAGGUAUCAGGUCAUUACAUCUGCACACCUGCCUGAAAAUAAAUAAAUAUCCGAACCAUUUGGGAAAGUGGAA